rnacentral:snRNA from 1 species
GUGUACACUUUGGCAGCACAUCUCCUAAAAUUGGAAUGAUACAGAGAAGAUUAGCAUGGUUCUUGUGCAAGGCUGACAUACACAAUUUCAUAAAUUGUUCCAUAUUUUU